rnacentral:rRNA from 1 species
GACGAACGCUGGCGGCGUGCCUAAUACAUGCAAGUAGAACGCUGAAGCGAGGAGCUUGCUCUUCUUGGAUGAGUUGCGAACGGGUGAGUAACGCGUAGGUAACCUGCCUUGUAGCGGGGGAUAACUAUUGGAAACGAUAGCUAAUACCGCAUAACAAUGGAUGACACAUGUCAUUUAUUUGAAAGGGGCAAUUGCUCCACUACAAGAUGGACCUGCGUUGUAUUAGCUAGUAGGUGGGGUAAUGGCUCACCUAGGCGACGAUACAUAGCCGACCUGAGAGGGUGAUCGGCCACACUGGGACUGAGACACGGCCCAGACUCCUACGGGAGGCAGCAGUAGGGAAUCUUCGGCAAUGGGGGCAACCCUGACCGAGCAACGCCGCGUGAGUGAAGAAGGUUGUCGGAUCGUAAAGCUCUGUUGUAAGUCAAGAACGGGUGUGAGAGUGGAAAGUUCACACUGUGACGGUAGCUUACCAGAAAGGGACGGCUAACUACGUG